rnacentral:rRNA from 1 species
UACGUAGGGACCAAGCGUUUGUCCGGAAUCAUUGGGCGUAAAGCGCGCGUAGGUGGCCAUUUAAGUCCGCUGUGAAAGUCAAAGGCUCAACCUUUGAAAGCCGGUGGAUACUGGAUGGCUAGAGUACGGAAGAGGCGAGUGGAAUUCCUGGUGUAGCGGUGGAAUGCGCAGAUAUCAGGAGGAACACCAAUAGCGAAGGCAGCUCGCUGGGACGUUAACUGACACUGAGGCGCGAAAGCGUGGGGAGCGAACAGG